AAUAGAUACCCGGGUAGUCCACGCCGUAAACGGUGGGCACUAGGUGUGGGCGACAUUCCACGUCGUCCGUGCCGCAGCUAACGCAUUAAGUGCCCCGCCUGGGGAGUACGGCCGCAAGGCUAAAACUCAAAGGAAUUGACGGGGGCCCGCACAAGCGGCGGAGCAUGUGGCUUAAUUCGACGCAACGCGAAGAACCUUACCAAGGCUUGACAUACACCGGAAACGUCCAGAGAUGGGCGCCCCCUUGUGGUCGGUGUACAGGUGGUGCAUGGCUGUCGUCAGCUCGUGUCAUGAGAUGUUGGGUUAAGUCCCGCAACGAGCGCAACCCUUGUCCCGUGUUGCCAGCAGGCCCUUGUGGUGCUGGGGACUCACGGGAGACCGCCGGGGUCAACUCGGAGGAAGGUGGGGACGACGUCAAGUCAUCAUGCCCCUUAUGUCUUGGGCUGCACACGUGCGUACAAUGGCCGGUACAAUGAGCUGCGAUACCGCGAGGUGAGCGAAUCUCAAAAAGCCGGUCUCAGUUCGGAUUGGGGU
rnacentral:rRNA from 1 species